rnacentral:tRNA from 1 species
GCGCCCGUAGCUCAACUGGAUAGAGCGUCUGACUACGAAUCAGGAGGUUGGGAGUUCGAGUCUUCCCGGGCGCGCCA